UUUGACAUCAUCUGGCAACUGAGUGAAGAAAGGUUUUCAGCAGCUGAAGCAAUCAUUUAUUCUAUAGUUAGCAACAUGAACGGUGUCUCUGCUCCACUGAUUCAGAAGACGGCACUCCCAGUGAAACACUCCUUAUACAUGGUUCUAACUGUGCAACCCAAUGCACUUUAUGUGAAGAUCCCUCCUGAGUCACCGAUA